rnacentral:rRNA from 1 species
ACGAACGCUGGCGGCGUGCUUCACACAUGCAAGUCGAACGGUGAUGCUCCAGCUUGCUGGAGUGGAUCAGUGGCGAACGGGUGAGUAACACGUGAGCAACCUGCCCCAGACUCUGGAAUAAGCGCUGGAAACGGCGUCUAAUACUGGAUACGAAACUGGCCCGCAUGGGCAUGAUUUGGAAAGUUUUUCGGUUUGGGAUGGGCUCGCGGCCUAUCAGCUUGUUGGUGAGGUAAUGGCUCACCAAGGCGACGACGGGUAGCCGGCCUGAGAGGGCGACCGGCCACACUGGGACUGAGACACGGCCCAGACUCCUACGGGAGGCAGCAGUGGGGAAUAUUGCACAAUGGGCGAAAGCCUGAUGCAGCGACGCCGCGUGAGGGAUGACGGCCUUCGGGUUGUAAACCUCUUUCAGCAGGGAAGAAGCGAAAGUGACGGUACCUGCAGAAGAAGCACCGGCUAACUACGUG